UCUCUAAAAAAAUUAUAAGCAUGCAGGGCAAGUAACAUGGGAGGAGCAGAAUUUGGGAAUGGGGUAUGUGUUCGAAGUCUGUCCAAAAUGCUCAGUAUUUUCAUGAACAUUGGAAGGCGGACACGAGAUGAGAGAAGAAGAGAAUUGCAACCUGUUCUGGAAGGCAAGCCUGACCGUUCAUGUUUUCUUUCCUCCUUGGUUCUGCCUUCUCAGGACUCACCCUUCCCCAGGAGAGGAACCUGGAGGAGGACUCAAUGGUCCUUGCUAUUCUGAAAGCCAUGGCCUAGUGUCUUUCGAUGGACAUACCUCCCUUGAUGAAGGAAGUUGUGCUGCUCUCAACAGAAACACCAAGUAUGGACCCUUCCCUUGAAUUGCCACAGUUACCUUACUGUGCUCGCCAGCCUCAGCUCUGCCAUGUCCGUUUCCGUCCUUCUGUUUUUCUAGUCAUAAAUAUUUACUUCAACGGCACACAUUCUCGGUUUGUUGUUUCAAGGGUCAGUGAUGUAUAGUGAUGUGGCAACAGUCUUCUCAGGUUGAGGGGGGCAGGCCGGACCCUGCUAGGAUUUGUGCAGAGACGGAAUGCUGGAGAACUUAAGCAACUUCAUCUCUAGGUAAGAUGUUAGGACCCUGGAAGGGUGUAAUUUGUCUACUGGAGUAUCUGCUGCCUUUGGUGUGAAUUUCUGAGGUGCCUUUCAAGACUCUGGUUGAAUUUCCACUCUGCUCUCAAUGAGAUUGUACUGAACAGGGAUGUAUAGUUCUGUAGGAUAACACCUAAAGAAGCUUCUUCUCCAUUACAAAAAUGACUUCCUUCUCUUCUCUGGCCUUAUUUUCUGGUAACCAGGAACUGGAAAUUAAUACUGAGACACCUCCUUUGUGACUCUGCUGCAUUUCUUCUUGGGUACACAGGAUUUUCUAUUUCUAAGCCCAAUGUGAUCUCCUUACUGGAACAAUGGAAUGAAUCCUGGUUGGCAGAAAGAGAUGUAAUGGGAAGCCCAUGCCGGAGAUCACAAGUAGGCAGAGAGAGAGGAGGAAACAGGC